rnacentral:rRNA from 1 species
AUGAACGCUGGCGGCGUGCCUAAUACAUGCAAGUCGAGCGAACGGACGAGAAGCUUUCUUCUCUGAUGUUAGCGGCGGACGGGUGAGUAACACGUGGAUAACCUACCUAUAAGACUGGGAUAACUUCGGGAAACCGUAGCUAAUACCGGAUAAUAUUUUGAACCGCAUGGUUCAAAAGUGAAAGACGGUCUUGCUGUCACUUAUAGAUGGAUCCGCGCUGCAUUAGCUAGUUGGUAAGGUAACGGCUUACCAAGGCAACGAUGCAUAGCCGACCUGAGAGGGUGAUCGGCCACACUGGAACUGAGACACGGUCCAGACUCCUACGGGAGGCAGCAGUAGGGAAUCUUCCGCAAUGGGCGAAAGCCUGACGGAGCAACGCCGCGUGAGUGAUGAAGGUCUUCGGAUCGUAAAACUCUGUUAUUAGGGAAGAACAUAUGUGUAAGUAACUGUGCACAUCUUGACGGUACCUAAUCAGAAAGCCACGGCUAACUACGUG